rnacentral:rRNA from 1 species
UGCUGGAGGUAUCAGAAGUGCGAAUGCUGACAUAAGUAACGAUAAAGCGGGUGAAAAGCCCGCUCGCCGGAAGACCAAGGGUUCCUGUCCAACGUUAAUCGGGGCAGGGUGAGUCGACCCCUAAGGCGAGGCCGAAAGGCGUAGUCGAUGGGAAACGGGUUAAUAUUCCCGUACUUGGUGUUACUGCGAAGGGGGGACGGAGAAGGCUAUGUUGGCCGGGCGACGGUUGUCCCGGUUUAAGCGUGUAGGUGUGUGUUCCAGGUAAAUCCGGUUCACUUUAACACUGAGGCGUGACGACGAGGCACUACGGUGCUGAAGCAACAAAUGCCCUGCUUCCAGGAAAAGCCUCUAAGCAUCAGGUAACAUCAAAUCGUACCCCAAACCGACACAGGUGGUCAGGUAGAGAAUACCAAGGCGCUUGAGAGAACUCGGGUGAAGGAACUAGGCAAAAUGGUGCCGUAACUUCGGGAGAAGGCACGCUGACACGUAGGUGAAGUGAUUUACUCAUGGAGCUGAAGUCAGUCGAAGAUACCAGCUGGCUGCAACUGUUUAUUAAAAACACAGCACUGUGCAAACACGAAAGUGGACGUAUACGGUGUGACGCCUGCCCGGUGCCGGAAGGUUAAUUGAUGGGGUCAGCGCAAGCGAAGCUCCUGAUCGAAGCCCCGGUAAACGGCGGCCGUAACUAUAACGGUCCUAAGGUAGCGAAAUUCCUUGUCGGGUAAGUUCCGACCUGCACGAAUGGCGUAAUGAUGGCCAGGCUGUCUCCACCCGAGACUCAGUGAAAUUGAACUCGCUGUGAAGAUGCAGUGUACCCGCGGCAAGACGGAAAGACCCCGUGAACCUUUACUAUAGCUUGACACUGAACAUUGAGCCUUGAUGUGUAGGAUAGGUGGGAGGCUUUGAAGCGUGGACGCCAGUCUGCGUGGAGCCGACCUUGAAAUACCACCCUUUAAUGUUUGAUGUUCUAACGUGGACCCGUAAUCCGGGUUGCGGACAGUGUCUGGUGGGUAGUUUGACUGGGGCGGUCUCCUCCUAAAGAGUAACGGAGGAGCACGAAGGUUGGCUAAUCCUGGUCGGACAUCAGGAGGUUAGUGCAAUGGCAUAAGCCAGCUUGACUGCGAGCGUGACGGCGCGAGCAGGUGCGAAAGCAGGUCAUAGUGAUCCGGUGGUUCUGAAUGGAAGGGCCAUCGCUCAACGGAUAAAAGGUACUCCGGGGAUAACAGGCUGAUACCGCCCAAGAGUUCAUAUCGACGGCGGUGUUUGGCACCUCGAUGUCGGCUCAUCACAUCCUGGGGCUGAAGUAGGUCCCAAGGGUAUGGCUGUUCGCCAUUUAAAGUGGUACGCGAGCUGGGUUUAGAACGUCGUGAGACAGUUCGGUCCCUAUCUGCCGUGGGCGCUGGAGAACUGAGGGGGGCUGCUCCUAGUACGAGAGGACCGGAGUGGACGCAUCACUGGUGUUCGGGUUGUCAUGCCAAUGGCACUGCCCGGUAGCUAAAUGCGGAAGAGAUAAGUGCUGAAAGCAUCUAAGCACGAAACUUGCCCCGAGAUGAGUUCUCCCUGAGACUUAGAGUCUCCUGAAGGAACGUUGAAGACGACGACGUUGAUAGGCCGGGUGUGUAAGCGCAGCGAUGCGUUGAGCUAACCGGUACU